CGGAAUAGCUCAGUUGGUAGAGCAACCGCCUUGUAAGCGGUAGGUCAGCGGUUCGAAUCCGCUUUCC
rnacentral:tRNA from 1 species